GGGGAAUAUUGCGCAAUGGGGGAAACCCUGACGCAGCGACGCCGUGCGCGGGAAGAAGGCUUUCGGGUCGUAAACCUCUGUCGGGAAGGAAGAACCGCCCAGGUCCGAAUAUGGCCUGGGUCCAACUGUAUCUCCAACGCAAGCACCGGCCAUCGCCGUGCCAGCAGCCGCGGUAAUACGGAGGGUGCAAGCGUUAAUCGGAAUCACUGGGCGUAAAGCGCGCGUAGGCGGCUUUUUAAGUCGGACGUGAAAGCCCUCGGCUCAACCGGGGAAUUGCGUUCGAAACUGGGAGGCUUGAGUCCUGGAGAGGGUGGCGGAAUUCCGGGUGUAGGAGUGAAAUCCGUAGAUAUCCGGAGGAACACCGGUGGCGAAGGCGGCCACCUGGACAGUUACUGACGCUGAGGCGCGAAAGCGUGGGGAGCAAACA
rnacentral:rRNA from 1 species